GAUGAAGAACGCAGCGAAACGCGAUAUGUAAUGUGAAUUGCAGAAUUCAGUGAAUCAUCGAAUCUUUGAACGCACAUGGCGCCUUCCAGUAUCCUGGGAGGCAUGCCUGUCCGAGCGUCGUUUCAACCCUCGAGCCCCCGUGGCCCGGCGUUGGGGAUCUGCCCAGGCAGUCCCCGAAAACCAGUGGCGGACCCGUUACAGGCCCUUCCCUUACGUAGUAGCAUUCGCCUCGCAUCGGGAGCCGGCGGGCUUCCAGCCUCUAAACCCCCAUCAAGUCCGCCCCGGCGGCACCAAGGUUGACCUCGGAUCAGGUAGGAAUACCCGCUGAACUUAAGCAUAUCAAUAAGCGGAGGA
rnacentral:misc_RNA from 1 species